rnacentral:rRNA from 1 species
UACGUAGGGACCAAGCGUUGUUCGGAUUUACUGGGCGUAAAGGGCGCGUAGGCGGCGCGGUAAGUCACUUGUGAAAUCUCUGAGCUUAACUCAGAACGGCCAAGUGAUACUGCAGUGCUAGAGUGUGGAAGGGGCAAUCGGAAUUCUUGGUGUAGCGGUGAAAUGCGUAGAUAUCAAGAGGAACACCGGUGGCGAAAGCGGCUUACUGGGUCUCUUCUGACGCUGAGGUGCGAAAGCGUGGGGAGCAAACAGG